rnacentral:rRNA from 1 species
UACAGAGGGUGCGAGCGUUGCUCGGAAUCACUGGGCGUAAAGGGUGCGUAGGCGGGUCUUUUAAGUCAGGGGUGAAAUCCUGGAGCUCAACUCCAGAACUGCCUUUGAUACUGAGGAUCUUGAGUAUGGGAGAGGUGAGUGGAACUGCGAGUGUAGAGGUGAAAUUCGUAGAUAUUCGCAAGAACGACCAGUGGCGGAAGGCGGCUCACUGGCCCAUUACUGACGCUGAGGCACGGAAAGCGUGGGGAGCAAACAGG